GAUGAACGCUGGCGGCGUGCCUAAUACAUGCAAGUCGAGCGAACAGACGCGAAGCUUUCUCCUCUGACGUUAGCGACUGACGGAUGAGUAACACGUGGAUGACCUACCUAUAAGACUGGGAUAACUUCGGGAAACCGGAGCUAAUACCUGCUAAUAUAUUGAACCGCAUGGUUCAAUAGUGAAAGACGGUUUUGCUGUCACUUAUAUAUGGAUCCGCGCCGCAUUAGCUAGUUGGUAAGGUAACGGCUUACCAAGGCAACGAUGCGUAGCCGACCUGAGAGGGUGAUCGGCCACACUGGAACUGAGACACGGCCCAGACUCCUACGGGAGGCAGCAGUAGGGAAUCUUCCGCAAAGGGCGAAAGCCUGACGGAGCAACGCCGCGUGAGUGAUGAAGGUCUUCGGAUCGUAAAACUCUGUUAUUAGGGAAGAACAAAUGUGUAAGUAACUAUGCACGGCUUGACGGUACCUAAUCAGAAAGCCACGGCUAACUACGUG
rnacentral:rRNA from 1 species